UACAGUGGCGUACGGGUGAGUAACACGUGGAUCAUCUACCCUCUUGUGGGGAAUACCGCUGGGAAACCGGCGACAAUACCGCAUAAGCUCGAAAGAGGAAAGCCGAAAGGCGCAGGAGGAGGAGUCCGCGGUCGAUUAGUUAGUUGGCAGGGUAAAAGCCUACCAAGACUGUGAUCGAUAGCCGGCCUGAGAGGGCACACGGCCACACUGGCACUGAAACACGGGCCAG
rnacentral:rRNA from 1 species